rnacentral:rRNA from 1 species
GGGACAACAGCUGGAAACGGCUGCUAAAACCCGAUGUGCCCUUCGGGGUGAAAUAUUUAUAGCCUGAAGAUGAGCUCGCGUCUGAUUAGCUAGUAGGUGCGGUAAUGGCGUACCUAGGCGACGAUCAGUAACUGGUCUGAGAGGAUGACCAGUCACACUGGGACUGARACACGGCCCAGACUCCUACGGGAGGCAGCAGUGGGGAAUUUUCCGCAAUGGGCGCAAGCCUGACGGAGCAAUACCGCGUGAGGGAGGAAGGCUCUUGGGUCGUAAACCUCUUUUAUCAGGGAAGAACGAAAUGACGGUACCUGAUGAAUCAGCAUCGGCUAACUCCGUGCCAGCAGCCGCGGUAAUACGGAGGAUGCAAGCGUUAUCCGGAAUUAUUGGGCGUAAAGCGUCCGCAGGUGGUUUUGAAAGUUUGCUGUCAAAGCGCGAGGCUCAACUUCGUAACGGCGGUGAAAACUUCAAGACUAGAGCUAGGUAGGGGUCACGGGAAUUCCCAGUGUAGCGGUGAAAUGCGUAGAUAUUGGGAAGAACACCAGCGGCGAAAGCGCGUGACUGGGCCUGAGCUGACACUCAUGGACGAAAGCUAGGGGAGCGAAAGGGAUUAGAUACCCCUGUAGUCCUAGCCGUAAACGAUGACAACUAGGUGUUGCCCGUAUCGACCCGGGCAGUGCCGUAGCCAACGCGUUAAGUUGUCCGCCUGGGGAGUACGCACGCAAGUGUGAAACUCAAAGGAAUUGACGGGGGCCCGCACAAGCGGUGGAGUAUGUGGUUUAAUUCGAUGCAACGCGAAGAACCUUACCAAGGCUUGACAUGUCGCGAACCUUCUUGAAAGGGAAGGGUGCCUUCGGGAGCGCGAACACAGGUGGUGCAUGGCUGUCGUCAGCUCGUGUCGUGAGAUGUUGGGUUAAGUCCCGCAACGAGCGCAACCCUCGUUUCUAGUUGCCAUCAUUCAGUUGGGCACUUUAGAGAGACUGCCGGUGACAAACCGGAGGAAGGUGGGGAUGACGUCAAGUCAGCAUGCCCCUUACGCCUUGGGCUACACACGUACUACAAUGCUACGGACAAAGAGCCGCAAGUUCGCGAGGACAAGCAAAUCUCAUAAACCGUGGCUCAGUUCAGAUUGCAGGCUGCAACUCGCCUGCAUGAAGGCGGAAUCGCUAGUAAUCCCAGGUCAGCAUACUGGGGUGAAUACGUUCCCGGGCCUUGUACACACCGCCCGUCACACCAUGGGAGUUGGCCACGCCCGAAGUCGUUACUCCAACCGUUCGCGGAGGAGGAUGCCGAAGGCAGGGCUGAUGACUGGGGUGAAGUCGUAACAAGGUAGCCGUACCGGAAGGUGUGGCUGGAUCACCUCCU